AGGCCAUGGUGCAAACUUCUGUGGAUCAACAUCUUAAAUUGCUCCUAAGCUUCACGAAAUUUUUCUCCUUCUAGUUGUUUAAAUGUGGAAAUCUCCCUCCUGAGUUG
rfam:Gossypium arboreum cultivar AKA8401 contig_54968_1, whole genome shotgun sequence.